UCUUAAAAUUGGGCCAAAACAACCCACCAGCACUGCAGCCCAAUUUCCUUGACCAUCAGCCCAUUCCCUUCAACAGCCCCAACCUUAUUCUUCCAAAUUAACACUUAGCCCAAUAAAUCACAUGAUCCGGCCCACACCUAUAUUUCCCUUUCCCUUAUCAAAAACAUUCAACAACCAUUACAGUCAUUUUCAACCAAAUAAAAAAACACCAACAAUUCAACGAUUUUCAACAAACAACAGCUGUAACAAUCAAAAUUCAAUCGACAAAUCUCUUAAAUCACGGUAAUUCCCCGCUCUCCAUUUUAUCUCUGUAAUUUUCAGGAGCCUCAAUUGUUGACUUUGGCUUAGAAAAAAUUCUUUAUUUUUUGUCAAAAUCUGAUCCUCAUUUGAGGGGGAUGUCUUCCUCCUACUGAUUUUCUUUGAAAUUGCUCAAAGAUUCCGCUCAAACGGCUAUUUUUUGAAAUUCGAACAAAUAUUUUUUUUUCAAUAAAUAGAAGUUGAUGGAGAGGAAUUAGGGGAGGAAAAAUUUUUGGGGAGAACUUUCGAGGAGAGAACUUUAUUUUUUUUUGUGAAAUCUUUUUUUUAGAGGUUUUGGAGAUUUUUUUUUUUUGGCUUACAUAGCUAUAAAAUUCGGAAAGAAAGUUGAAAUCCGACAAAUUUGAAGUUGAAAUUCCAGUGGUGGCGGAAGUCCGUCGUCCCGUUCGCUGCCCGAAAAAGUCCAACUGGACUCCAUCGCCCCUGCAUAUUCUCGAGACCAAAAUCAUCCAUACUAGAGUCAAAAAUCUCCAUCAAAAUCUGCCUAGGGGGCUGAUAUACAUUGUAUACAGCAGAUAUACAUGGUAAAAAGGCAUCUGCGCAUCAUCACGAGAUUUAUGAUGAAAAGUGGAAAGGAAAUAAACAGUUUUCGACACUGAUAUACACUAUAUAUGUAGUGAUAUACAAGGGAAAACGUAGAAAAACAAGGCUGGUAUACAUGUGGUAUACACUGCAGAAAAAUGGAUCAAAGUCCAUAAAGAAUAGGCACAAAGUUGGCCAGAUUUGAAAUGGGCCAAACAGGGGCCCAAAUCUCAACUUCAUUUUCUUUCUUACACUUAAUUUAUGUUGAUUGUAAUUUGUGCUAGUUUUAUUUUAAUUAACCUUGGUGAAUCCCUAAAGCGUUGUCAUUUUAUUU